rnacentral:rRNA from 1 species
GAUGAUUUGACGAAAGAAAAUCUGUCUUAGCCUAUUUUAAAAAAAAUUAACCUAGAAGUUAAAAGGCUUCUAUUUCCUAAAGGGACGACAAGACCCUAUAAAGCUUUAUUUAUAAUAUUUUUAUUUACUUCAAUAAAAAAUAUAAAUUUAUAAAUUCUAUUGGGGCGAUAGAUAAAUAAACAUUAUUGACUAUAACGUUUUUAACGAAAUUUAUAAAAUGUUUUUAAAACCUACAACAAGUUACUUUAGGGAUAACAGCAUAAUUUCUUUUUAGAGUCCUUAUCGACAAAGAAGAUUAUGACCUCGAUGUUGAAUUGAGUUACUAUUUUUAUGGAGAUAUAAAAAGUAGAAGUCUGUUCGACCCUUAAA